ensembl:snRNA U1 U1 spliceosomal RNA
AUACUUACCUGGCAGGGGAGAUACCAUGAUCAAGGAGGCAGUUCACCCAGGGUGAGGCUCAUCCAUUGCACUUCAGUUGUGCUGAUCCUUGCAAAUUCCCCAAAUGUGGGAAUCGUGGCUGCAUAAUUUCUGGUAGUGGGGGACUGAUAUUUGGGCCAGUG